UCCAUGGCUGAAGAUUUGCUUGCAAGGUCUACGAACGGUCAGUAAACUGACAGUAAUACCUUGGGGAAAGUCUCCUGCCUUUAUGCGGAAACGCAAUGGAUAAUAGACUCCAUUUGGAUGGCAUUUACAAAAGUUGUGGUGGCGUAUUGCCAUGAUGUUUGGUCUUCAGUUGUUCUUCUGAACACUGAAGCCAACUCACAUCUUGGGAUUAUACGGUAUGUCACUAACUUCUUUUGGGUGGUGUUCAAUACUCCCAGCUGGCUUCCAGCUGGUGAUCACUUCGGCAACGGGAAUUUGUUUCCUAAACGAUAGUUAUAGCGAAUGAUUUUGUUAAAACUUGAUUAACACAAUGGAGCUUACUUCAAUCCAUGG
rnacentral:RNase_MRP_RNA from 3 species